UGGGGAAUCACAAUUAGAUGCUCAUAGAAGAAAGACCAAAAGACAAGCACUGUAAGUUUAAUAGCAAUGAGGUUUGAAUUUUAAUUUAGUAGCAAUGAGACCCCAAAGGUUUGAUUUCUUUACUCUUCUACUUUCCAAAAUUCCUUCAGUGACAUGUAUUAACUUAAUAAUUAUUUAAAAAAAUUGAAUGUAGGACAUUAAUAGCUACCUCAUAGAUUUGCGUGAGAAUUAAAUUGAGAUGUUUUUUUUUAAUAAAACUAAAUUUAGUGCCUAGCAUUUAGUUGAUGUUUUCAAUUAUUUUUACCCAAUUUAAUCACUUAUCAAAGACUUGGCUUAAAAUUAUUUUUGAGUUAAAUGAGAAGCAAAAAAUGUUACUGUUUAGUGGGUAAAGAUUGUCACCAUUCGGAUAUUUAAAAGAAUGCCCUUAAAGCUGGGAAGGCAAUUUCAGAAGAGAUGUACAUGAAGUGCUUUGAGCAAUGGGAGUGAUAAUGAAAUAAGCAUUUAAGCUUAAGGUGACCACGAAGGAGCAGUUAUUUGGACCUACAAGCUUUGGUUUGUUUGUUUAAAAACCUGUCAUUACUUGAUAGCCACAUUGGGUGCACAGAGAGAUGGAGCAAUAUCUAACUCUGAAGUGAGCAAUUAGUCUGUCACGAUGAAUGCCCAGUCUUCUUCCGGCUGACGAAAAGUGUCUUGUCAGAGCCUCUGGGUCAGCCUCAGAACCCUGCGCCUGGGCCCGGCUGCCUUCUCUCUGCAGCUUUCUUCAUCCUGCAGAAAGGAAGGGGAGCCUUUGUGGCUGUGCCUGAUGGACAGCUCCUAGGACCCCUACCCCUAUCUCUUCCUGCACUAUUUAUUCUUGGUGUGCUAGGCCCCUUCCCUCUGCCCAGGACAACACACACACACACACACACACACACACACACGCACACACACACGGCUCUACUUUCCCCUAUCUUCUGCUAUCUCCCUUCCCCCAGCUUUGUCAGGAACUCCUCCUUUUUUCGGUAAUUUUUUUUUUUUUAGCAUUUCCCAUAGAAUCUUGCGAAGUCUAGUUUACUUAUCUCCCUCCCGCACUGGUUCCUUGUGAGAUCUGCCACAUUUAUUCACCUCUCACAGCUUUUAUUUCUUCAUCUCCGCUUCUCAUUGGCAAAUGGGAGAAUAAUGCCUCAUUUAGAAGUUUGUUGUGGGCAUUCCAUUGUGUAAUGGAGGUAGAGUUCCUGGCAUGAACCAGGCACCCAAUAAUAGAAGCUAUUAUUAUAAUUAAUUAUGUUAUUUUUUCAAUUUUAUAUCCUCAGGGCCUGGCAUAGUACCUCAAAUGUGAUGGGUACAAAAUAAAUUUAUGGUGAAUUAAUGAAUUAACUUACAAGCUUAUGGAAUAUGACUCUAAAAUAACAUAAGAAUGUUGUUUGGUAGUGUUUAUAGGAGACUCCGGCAACAAACCUUUCCCAGACGACCUGUCUGGGGCCCAUCCUUGGAAAUCAUCUUUCCUUGGGAAAAACCAUUGUUACCAUAGAGGUAUAGAAAGGCUAUUGGUGGUUAUUUCUGAGUUGAUAUGGCUUUAUCAGAAUAAGAACAAUUUUCUCCAUUGAUCAACGCCUCUUUAAUCUACCUAGAUUCUUGCCCAGAGGCCAGCCUUCCUUGGCCUUGUUAACUUGCACACUCCCGGAGUCUGACACGCAGUCCCUGGCUGCAAUAACUUGAUCCAAAUGAGAUCAACUCCAUUGCUGCCUCCACACUCCAGUAGAUCUGUCUGCUAGUUCCAAUCUACUCACCUCUCUGUGUUCAUAAAACCUGUUAGCUAAUUUGCAUUCUAUCUCUUAUCUUUUCCCUUCUUCCUUUUAGGAAGAUGUUUGUGAAUUAUUUUAAGCCAGUUGAAUCAUUCUGAGAGUUCAGUGCUAUUUUUAAGCUGUGGAGGAACAGUUGGGCAGGAAUGAUUUAGGGAUGUGAAGCCUUUCACAAUAAUAUCCCGCAGACACUUCAACUUACCAAGUUUCUGGUAAACCUCAGUGUGUUAAGACAGUAAAGGUUUAUGGGUCACUGUUCUCAGAUACCAAAUUCGAAGCUGCCAGGUAGCAAAAUGCCUGAUAAAAGCAAUGGCAUGUGGUGCAGGUGAAGCCGCUUGUCUGCUGCCAGAGGGAAUGCCUCCCUCUCCAGCACUUUCCCAUGCACUGCUUUCCCUUGCUGCUUUCUCUGCCUGUUUUAUCAGGACCUGUUUGUCUUGUUUUAUCAGGACCAUGGUCUCCACGUCCUUGUAGACUUCUUGACUCCUACUGGCAUCCUUUCCCAAAAGACUGGAGGCAGAAGGCUGACAGUGGUCCUGCAGGAAGUUUUCGUGGUGCUUCCUUGAAGCCUACACAUCUACAAAGGUACUUUUGUGGACAGAAUCAGUGUGUCCCUGUGUAUGCAGAACACACAUUCCUGGUUUUUGUUUGGUGAUGAGGAAGGUAAAGAGGAAUAUGACAGUAAUUUCACUGCAGCUGGUCAGAAAAACAGAAAGCUGAUUAGAGAAAACAAAGCUGAUUGGAGAAGGGGCAUGGCAAAGUUCAUAAAUUAAGUAUAUUACCUUCAAGGCCAUGAUAGUCAAUUAUAAAAUAGUGGAGUACUUCAUAAAAACUAUCCAUGAUUUUGCUUUGCAUAGUUUCAGUUACCUGUGGUCAACUGUGCCCCAAAAAUAUUAAAUGGAAAACUCCCCAAAAUAAGCAAUUCAGAAGUUUUCUAUUACACAUUGUUCUGAGUAGUGUGAUGAAAACGUUUGCCGUCCCUCUUGGUCCUGCUUGGGACCUGAAUCACUCCUUUGUCCAGCACAUCACGCUGGACUCUACCUGCCAGCUGGUCUCUCACUAGCCAUCUCAGUUAUCAGACUGACUGCAGCGAUAUCACAGCCUUCACGGUCAAGUAGGCCUUCCUUAAUAGCCUACCUCUGUGUCACAAUGCCUACGUCAUUCACCUCGCUUCAUCUUGUCACACAGACAUUGCAUUAUCACAUAACCUCAUGAGAACAAUUAAUACAGUACAGUAAGAGAGAUCACAUUCACAUAACGUUUUUAUAGUAUGUUGCUAUAAUCAUUCUAGUGUUACUAAUCUCCUGUUGUGCCUAAUUUGUAAGUUUUGCUUUAUCAUAGGUGUAUAUUAAUAGGAACAAUCAUAGUAUUUAUAGAGAUCUGUAAUAUCUGAUGUUGCAAGCACCCAUUGAGGAUCUUGGAACAUGUCCCUCAUGGAUAAGUGGGGGCUACUGCAUCAGGAUUUCAGAUGUUAACACAUUCUGGAUUUCCUAUUAGGAAAAAUCAUAGGGAUCGUUGAGCUGGAUUGCUUCUUUCAGAUGGGAGCUUAUGAUCUUUUAAUCUUCAUAUGGAAUGGGAUGCCUUUUACACUGAAUGAAGUCUGAAGAGCAGAAUAAAGCCGUAAGUCAUUAUCAUCCAUAAAAUAAAGAUAAACACACAAUGAAGGGUGGCUUUUAAAGACUACUUCAGAAAAUUACACUUUAUUUAUUAUUUUACUAGGUUAAACAUGCACAUGAUGCAUCGUUUUCCAAAAGCACACAGUGAGAGGUGAACUUCCUUCUGAUGCCCUGUCCACAGCCACCUGGCCUUUCUCCGGAAGCACAGUGCUUUACAACAGCCUAGAAAAGUUUAGUGAUAGCCAGUUCCAUUUCCAGAUGAGAAAAACUGUGAUUCCAGGAGAUCUGUAAGGUUUGUUCGGUCAGGUGGUUUGUUCUUUGUAGAACCAGUGUUCCCGGCGGGCACUGACAGCCUCCAGCUGCACUCUCUCCACCAUGCAGUGGGGCUCAACCAACUUACAGGGCUUCUCUGGCACCAGCUAGAGUGAGCUAGUGUGGGUGCAAAUUGGUUUUCCUGUUUUGAUAUCAUGCUCCAAAAUAGCUUGUAAUGAGCCAAAAAUACUUCAGUAUUGUGCUAGCUGUCACCGGAGUUCCAACAAAACCUUCAGCGUACAAAUGUGGAUAAAUGCAGGCUCAUGGUUCUUCAUGACCUCCUCAAGACCCCUGCACACCUGACAGCAGGUUCACUGGGCACCACAGUUCUUAAAUACUCUCAGUAGGAAAGGUAGGCUUGUUUCUGCUAUAAAAUGUCAAGAAAGGAGGGGAUUCAGGGCAGACUUGCUAGAAGAGUCUGGCAAUUGUUCUUCACUAUUCUAUCUGCAAACUUGUUGUUAUCCUUUCCCUGUACUCCCAAAUGUACCCCAUUUCAUCCUCUGGCAGUGACAACCACAGGACAUCUGAGGUUGUCAGUGAUCCAGCAGUUUCCCAUUGGAUUCCACUUGCUAGCACAUUCUUAACUGUGCACAUCUUGAUUUGGUUUUAUAUGGCUCAGUCUCUUUCAAGCCCUCUGAAAAUUUGACUAUGAUAGACGUGCAGCAUUCAUUUUAGAACCCCUUUUAAAAUAAGGAUCGUCAAUAGUUUCCGAAGCAUUACACAGGAAGACAUGUUGUCCUUCAUUUGUAUUACCACGUCAUUUUUUGGAUGUCAUUAAUAAUUGGUCUGCAUCAUCCAUAUGCUACCACCCCCAACUCUCCAAGGCUGAUAAUUUCAGCAUUAUUUUUAGUCCGUCUACAUAGUUCUAAAAAUGCCCAAAGAGAGGAGGAGUGUUCUUUUAAAGCACAUUCUUUCUGAGCAUGAGCUUAUCGUCCAUCAGUGUUCACAAAGAAUGAAGUGUUCUGCCACUUAUCCUUGAUCCUGAAACACUGAAACAUUUCUCAUAGCUCUGUAGGCACCUAAGAAUCAAAGUCCAUAAAUAUCAAUGUAGGUGGGGUGUACUUUUUUCCCUUGUUGUAUUAAAAGCACAGCAACAUGUCUGACCUAGAUUAGUAUUAUUCAGCAUUAGAAUGCAUAGGCUUUUAAAUUGCUUUCCAACUGUAUUAAAGUUUACUGAGGUAUACUAUUAAAUACUUUCUUUUCUGAAUCAUGUAAUAAAGAAUAUUUUUGGGAGUGAUGUUCCUUAUUUGCAAUAUUAAAAGAUAAAUUAUGUGGUGGACAUUUGGCCUAGCAAUUAAAACACUCAUGACCCACAUCAAAGUACCUAGAUUUGAUUUCCAGCUCUGGCUCCUGACUCCAGCUUCCUGCCAGUGCAGAUCCUGGGGGGCAGUGGGUGAAAGCUUAAGUAACUGGGUCUCUAUCACCCACAUGGGAAGGUCAUACUGAGUUCUCAGCUCCUGGCUUUGGUUUGGCCCAACCCCAGCUGUUGAGGGCAUUUGGGAAUGAAUGAGCUCAUGGGAGCUCUCUUUGUCUGUCUGUCUCUGUUUCUAAGAUGAAAUUUUUCUUUCUUUGUUUUAAGACUUAUUUAUUUAUUUUUAAAGUCAGAGUUACAUAGGGAGAAGGAGAGAGAAACAGAAAGAGAGGGAGAGAGAGAUCUUACAUCCACUGGUUCACUUCCCAGAUGGCUGUUAACAGCUAAUGCUGGGCUGGACUGAAGCCUGGAACCAGGAGCUUCAUCUGGGUCUCCCACGUGGGUACAUGGCACGGCCCCAAGCAGUUGGGCCAUCUUCCACUGCUUUUCCUAGCCAUUAGCAGGGAGGUAGAUGGGAAGUGGAGCAGCUGGGACAUAAACUAGUGUCCACGUGGGAUGCCGGCAUCACAGGUGGAGGUUUUUACCUGCUGCUCCACAAUGCUAGCCCCAAGUUUUAUUUUUUAAAGAGAAAUUAUGUGUGGCACCUCUGUCCCUCCUAUCCUGCCUCAGGAAGCAUGCACAAAGGUAACAAGGAAUUUGGCACCGAAACUUGGGACUACGGUACAUUGGCAGUUGAGGCUGAGUAACACUGCAGACCACUGCUACUGUAUGCUUUCCUGGGAGUAGAGUUCUCUAGGUGGGAGGAGAGUGCCGUUCCCAUUGGGGCCAGGCGAAUGACUGCAGCGUGAAAGCUCAGGUGUCCACUCACAAAACAGAGCAUUUCCAAGGAUGUUCUGGAAGGAAGUUCACAUCUGCUGUUACGGACAGAAUGUUUGCAUCACUCUCAAGUUCAAAUGUAGAAGCCCUGGCAGGCAAUGUGAUCGUAUUCAGAGGCAGGGCCUUUGGGAAGCGGUUAGAUGAAGUAUAAGGGUGAGACCCUCAUGGUAGGUUUAUCUUGUACAAGAAAAGGAAGAAAAGUUAGUCUUCUCUUUCCCCACCAUGUGCUUAUUCAAGGAUGUGACCCUCUGCAAGCCAAAAAAGGACCCCUAGCAGGGAACUGGAUUGGCAGCUAUCUUGAUCUUGAACUUCCAGCCUCUAGAAUGGUGAGAAAAACAUUCCUAUCCUUUAAGCAACCUGGAUUAUGUAUGGAAUUUUGUUAUGGCAGCCCAAGCUGACUAAAACACCUGCAUAUUCUAAUGCUGUUUAGCCACUGACAUUUUAACUUGUCAUUUUAGCCUUUGACCCAGUGUUGCUGUUUGUUUUAAAGUGGAACAUUUCUUGCUUAUGACAAAGCUCUUUUGUUGUUGACUGAACAGUCAUUCCUCCAACAUUUUCAAAUUCAAAGACAGGCAAUGGCUUUCCCUAACCAGGGGUAUUUAGUUUCCUUGAUUGCAUUUUUCUGAUAAUUAUUCACAGCAAUAAAGUACUAACAUUGUCUUAGAACCACAUCAUUUCAUCUCCUGUGUCUGUGCCUCUCCACUGUCUUAGCUCUGUGAAGGUGGGGACUUUUCCUCUUGCCAUCCUCAGCACCUCACACAGAACCCAGCCCCUACAAGAGCUGAGUGAAUGACUAAAAUGACAACAUUUCUGGAGUGUGAUGAGGGUAACUUGGUAAAAGCACCUCUGAUUCAUUCUCUGAGAAGAGUUAAGUAAUUCCCACAUAAAAAGCCACACAGAAAUGUUGAUAGAAACUGUACUGAUAAUAGCCAAGACUUGGAGACAACCAAGAUGUCGUUCAGUGGAUGAAUGGAUAAGUGAUCUCUGGUGAAUAUAAUGAAAUACUGUUCAGCACUGGAAGAAAUGAGCUAUCAAGUUAUGAAAAGAUAUGGAGGAAACCCAAAUGCAUAUUACUAGGUAAAAGACAAAAAUAUCAUUGCUGUAUACUGUAUGAUUCCAACUAUAUGAUGUUCUGAAAAGAUGAAACUGUUAAGAUAGUGAAAAGAUCAAUGGUAGCCAGGGCUUGGGGGAUGCAGAGGUGAGUGAGUGGAGCACAAAGGAUUUUUUUUGGUCAGUGAAACUACUCCACAUGACUCCAAAAGGGUGGAUACAUGUCAUUAUACAAUUGUCCAGACCCAUUGAAUGUACAACACCAAGUGUGAACUACGGAUUUUGGGUGAUCACGAUGUGUCAAUGUAGGUUUAUCAGUCAUAACAAAUGUGCCAUUCUGGAAAGGGAUGUUGAUAAUAGAGGAGGUUUGUAUGCCUGAGGGCAGGGCAUAUAUACUAAAUUUCUUUAUUUUCCUCUCAGUUUUUGCUGUGAACAUAACAUUGCUGUAAAAACAGUCUUUAAAAAAAGUAAGGAAUUCUUUGGAUGAUGUUUUUCCCAAGGUAACUUUUCCACCUUCCCCUGUAUUCCUUCUCUAGAUGGCAUUGUAUUCACUUCUUUGAUCUGCCUUAAAUGGAGCUCUCUAAAUUGACUAGUAACAAGAAGACUUAAGUCAGCAAAAGGGACAGCCCAGAACUCUGAAGAAGUUUAUGGACAAAAUUGGGAGUUGCCUGGCCAGAUUUGUAAUCACAAACAAGUUAUAGUUUAUACCAAAUAUUCUCUUCAGAACCAAGAAGAAAUCUAGCACAGACCCAGGAAACUAUAGUCUCCGACUUUUCUCUGUUUAGCACACUAUAAAGCUGGGAUUGCUGAACAUUUUACAUGUAGGAAAAUGGAGAGAAAGAUUUCCUGAAUAAUUGACUACAAGUCCGAACUAAUUACCUUGCAUUAGAUGGCAGAUUUACAUAUGGAUAUGGGGAAACUGUGGGUGGAGUAUAUAUAGCUUUUUGUAAAGUAUUUGCUAAAAUUCGACUUUUGGUGAGAUAUUCCAAUAAUUGUCUCACUGGGAAGGGAGUAUGAUCAGUCACAGUUGCAGAGCCAAAUUAAAAACAGGACAUGAAGGGGAUUGUAAGUAGACAAUUUUACUAUGGAGAAAUGUAAGGGAAACAAUGUUCAAGCCUUUCAGUUAACCAAAUUCUUUAAAUAAUUUUUGGUUUAGGAUAAAAUGUACAGCACACUCUCCAAGUUUGUGAAUGGCACAAAACUAUUAUGGGUUGGGAGGCAAGCCAACAAUAGAGGUUAAUGCAAGAAGUUUACAGAACUGUAUGGGGAUAAAAAUGACAACUAGAACAUUUGAAAAAGUUUUAGAUAUAAGAAAAAAGUAAUACUUAGUGAGUUUACCAUGUUCUAAGCACCUGGUAUUUAAUAUUUUUCUUAUAUUCAUAGCACUGUAUGAAGUUGAUAUUAUUAUUCGCCUCAUUUUAUUAAGGCUAGAGCUGACAUAGUGAGAUGUUAACCCACCCAAGUUCACACACAAAUAGUAAAUGGUACAGCUAGACUUAAACCUGGAGAGGCUGAUUCAGAACUUGUGUGUUGUUUCACUCCCCUGUCAUUGAAUACCUAGAAGAUGAAGGGAAUAGAAACCAAGACAGUAAGUAAGGAUCUGAAUGUGACGUGGAGUUGGAGAUUUCUGUUAGAAAUGAGAGUGGUCGUUUUGAGGAAGUGAUAGAGACUGAGAAUAUGGUUUCCUAGAACUUUAGAGGAAGAAUAUAUAGUGAGAGUGAUUGCUCCACUGACAUUUUUAGAAAAGCAACUAUUCCUUCAACCUAAUGUGACCAAAGCAGCCUUUACUGAGGCACUUUGGCAUACGGGUGUAGGCUCAACUUUGUUGUUCAUUAGCUGUGUUGCUUUGGCAGGUCUUUUAGUUCAGCUCAAAGAAUGUGUGUAGAGAAUCUGUUACGGACUUAGUAUGUUUGAGAGCCUUCCUGAGAGUCAAAGUCAUGUCACUUCUCUAGGCUUUGAUUUCUUCAUCUGGGCCAAACAUUUUGGUUCAGAUGAUUUUUUAAUGUCCUUCUCAAUUGCCUUGGCCUCAGUGUUUCAUGUAGGGUUCUUAACACAGACUCCACGGAACCCUUGUCAGGGGAUCUGUUAGCUGUGGGUGGGGAAAAAUUAUGCCUUCAGUUUUACUGACUUCUAACUUAAAUUUGGCCCUUUGUUUAUGAAUGUAGGCCAAAAAUCCUACUUUCAACAGUAUUGUGAGGGUUUUCUUUCUUUGUCAGUGAUGGAAAUCACAGGUAUUCUCAUAUAAAUGUGUAAUCCAUGAAGGAUAUUAUAUAAUAAACUAGUAAAUAUGAUUCUAUCACAAAAAGUAACUAAGGAUCUGGAACAUUGUUCAAUAAGGAAAGUCUUCCGGGAAAAUAGAAUGAAACAAAACUGAUGUAUCACUCUGUUUUCUGUUACUAUAACAAAAUACUGGAGGAAGGCUAAAUUUAUAAAGAACAAAGGUUUAUUUAGCUCAUAGUUCUGAAGGUUCAAAGUCCGAGAUGAGAUAGCAUCAUUGGUUUGCCCCUUGGUGAAACCCUAAGAGCAGAUGACAUCACAGUGGUGGGAGGAAAUCAUAUAUCCUGGAAUGAAUGUUUGGUACAUCAGUUAGGAUACUGUUUGGUAUGCCCACACCCCAUGUCAGAGUUUCUAAUGUGAGUCUUGGCUCUUAAUCUGGAUCUAGUUUUCUGCUAAUGCAUACCCUCAGAGGCAACAAGUGAUUGCUCUAGUACUUGGGUUCCUGCUAUCCAUGUAGAAGACUUGAAUUGAGUCUUGGGUUUUUGGUUUCAUUCUGGCCCAGCCUUGGCCAUUACAGGCAUUUGGAAAGUGAAGCAGAGGAUGGAAGAUCUUUCACCAUCUGUCUGUCUUUGUCUCUCUGCUUUCAAAUAAAAUGAAAAAGAAAAAAAAAAAAAGAUUGGACAUAUCUCAAAUAGGAAACUAGAGAGAGCUGGGUAGGGACUGUUCUUGCUCCUUUUAGAACACUCUUGUGAGAUCUAACUCAUUGUCUCAUGGGAACUACCUUAAUCUCUUCUAAGAGCAGGGUACCCAGUGACCCAAGAACCUCUUAGUAGGCCCCACUUCUCAAGGGUCCAACCACUUCUCAGUCACAUUGAGGACCAAACAUCUAAUAUAAGAACACUGAGGGGACAAAGUAUAUCCAACCAUUGUAACUGAGCACCAGGAAGUUAUUGAGAAAUCUAACUGAAACUUAUCCCAUUGGUUUAUAAAUAGGAUGCAUGGUUUUUUAUUUUUUUUUUUUAUCUUUUUUACAGGCAGAGUGGACAGUGAGAGAGAGAGAGACACAGAGAGAAAGGUCUUCCUUUGCCGUUGGUACACCCUCCAGUGGCCGCCACAGCCGGCGCACCGCGCUGAUCCGAUGGUAGAGGCCAGGUGCUUAUCCUGGUCUCCCAUUCGGGUGCAGGGCCCAAGCACCUGGGCCAUCCUCCACUGCACUCCCGGGCCACAGCAGAGAGCUGGCCUGGAAGAGGGGCAACCAGGACAGAAUCCGGCGCCCCGACUGGGACUAGAACUCGGUGUGCCGGCGCCGCAAGGCAGAGGAUUAGCCUAGUGAGCCACAGCACCGGCCAGGAUGCAUGUUUAAUUACAUUAUUUUUGGGGAAUUCUGGUUAAAUUCAUUUGAGAAACAACCAAUAGAAAGAGUCUAUUAAUAAAAGGAUUGAACUGCUAAAUUCAUGUGUUGAGAUAUUGAACUAUACCUUAGAAAAAUGUACAAAUUUUAUAUGUUAAUCAAAAGGUUUUUUUUUUUUUAAAGGGCCGCCUGGGUGAAAAUCAAAUUGGAGACUUUAUUAUAGAAAUAAAGAUUGAGAAUUAAUGUCUGUGAGGUCAUAACUGGCAUGACUAAAGUGGAUAUGAAAAUUCAUGAAACUUCUGGAAAAUAAAUUUAGAAUGCUAAAAGAGAUAGCGCUGAAAUCAUUUAGUAAUAUACACAUGGCAUCAUUACCAUGGGAAUUAGUAUGGGCAGUGUUUAACAAAUUAUUUGGAAUAAUUAUAAACAACUCCUGAAGAUAGGGAUGGAGCCAACCCACAAAAGCAAUGCCGAGGACGGUAGUCUUGAGCUUUACCCAGUAAACCAUUUCUAAAAAAAAGAGAGAAAGCAUUUGUAGAGGAGUGUGACUUUGAAGUCAGACCUAGGUUCAAAUUCCGGCUCUACAGUUCACUGAAUAGUUACUUAAUCCCUCUGAGCUGCAGUCUUGCCACCUGCCAAAUGCAAAAAAUCAUACUUCACUGGACAAUUGGGCCUGGCACCUAAUUGGCACUCCAAGGAUGUUGACUGUUGUUAUAAUUAAGAUGACCCCGUGUAUGUCUGCCUGAUGCGCUCAGAAAAAGCCUUUCUUUUAAUUUGGGUUGGAGGAUGUUGAGAAUUUCAAUUUUGUUUUACCCUGAGCUGCACGUCUCAGGCUUAACUCUGAACUGUGUUCAUCUCUAUCUAUAUGCACAACGAGAAAUUGCUGUGACCUCUUUUAAUCUUCAGAAAACACAGACUUUGGUGGCAGCUUACCUCUGAGUCCUUGAUGAUCUUUUUAAAUAGCUUACAAUUAUCUACGGCUCUGGGAAUCUCUCUCUCUUGAAUUUUGUGUUUUGCUUGUGUGGUUUGUUUCUGAUGAUCCUUUUAUGUCUAAUAUGAGGUGAGAAGGGCAGCGGGUGUUUGCCUUUCUGCUGAGAGGGGGUUCCUUUUUGCUAUUUCUUAUUUUCUGUAUUGAGAACCCUUGAGUCCGGGGACCAAACGACGUGCAAGUUAACAGCAAGUACACAACAAAACUCAGCUAAGCCUCCUGCAAUGGAAAUGAGAUUCUGAAUAAAACACACAGUCUAAUGUGUUGGUUAUGACUCACAUGCUGUCUAGAACUUCAGAGUCCCUGCCCAUUUUGUGUAAAUCAAACAUGUCAGGUGAUCUGGCCACAAAAACUGACUGUGACACUGAUGUGUAUUUUGCUGAAAUCAGGUCAGCAGUCAGAGCUGGAGAGUGACACUCUGGUGAAUUUAGCUGUGUCAGUUGCCCAGAAAAUUAUAAUUUAGGAAAUUAUUUCCUAAAUUUCAACAAUUCUCAUUACUGGACAAUGUCAUUUUAAAAAAAUCCUAUUUUUCUUUCCAUUUGCUUACAUGUAGAUGACAGCAGUGAGAAAAAGUAGA